AGUGAACGCUGGCGGUAGGCCUAACACAUGCAAGUCGAACGGCAGCACAGUAAGAGCUUGCUCUUACGGGUGGCGAGUGGCGGACGGGUGAGGAAUACAUCGGAAUCUACUUUUUCGUGGGGGAUAACGUAGGGAAACUUACGCUAAUACCGCAUACGACCUACGGGUGAAAGCAGGGGAUCUUCGGACCUUGCGCGAUUGAAUGAGCCGAUGUCGGAUUAGCUAGUUGGCGGGGUAAAGGCCCACCAAGGCGACGAUCCGUAGCUGGUCUGAGAGGAUGAUCAGCCACACUGGAACUGAGACACGGUCCAGACUCCUACGGGAGGCAGCAGUGGGGAAUAUUGGACAAUGGGCGCAAGCCUGAUCCAGCCAUGCCGCGUGGGUGAAGGAGGCCUUCGGGUUGUAAAGCCCUUUUGUUGGGAAAGAAAAGCAGCAGGUUAAUACCCCGCUGUUCUGACGGUACCCAAAGAAUAAGCACCGGCUAACUUCGUG
rnacentral:rRNA from 1 species